rfam:Ictidomys tridecemlineatus contig028793, whole genome shotgun sequence.
UGGGUUGUGGCUCAGCGGUAGAGCACUCGCCUAGUACAUGCGAGGCCCUGGGUUUGAUCCUCAGCACCACAU